AUUAUCAAAUUAAAUAGCUCUGGUCUCCAGUAUAUUGGCGAAUUCGGUUCUUUGUGCUUAAUUUAUUAGCAUGAUUUCUUUUUAAUAUGUUGUGUACAGACUUAAUUACUUCUCUGUCUACUUUUCUUACUCCAUGUAGGUUUCCCAGAGACUAUGGGUUGAGGAGGAAGUGGAAGUUUGUCGGCUUAGACCUGGUGUCAUUCCAUCAGUGUUAAACUUCCCGGCUCAUCUUGGAAGAGUACGUGCCAGAAAGACCACGACCAAGAAGCCUUGAGAUCUUAGGCAGCGUCUCCCUGAGGUCCCUCUCUGUCUCCCCACACAUCCACCAACCACUGGAACACAUCUCCAAAGUUCUGCCGGGCCAGCUCAGCUUCCCCUCAGAAGAAGUGCCGCCACCUGCCAGAUGAAGGAUCCUUUUGAGAGGCAGCUGGUAUCGUGAUUGGACUGUACUUUGGUCUGUUCCAAUCCAGCUUCAGCUCCAGAGACGGCAGGCGGGACGAGUCAACGGAGGCCGGGUGGACGAAGGCAUGCAGCUGAGUACAAUACAGAAAACAACAGAGGAGGAAUGCAGCGGCCCAGGACCAGAACAGAGUAGCAUGGUAUGUCUCUUAGAAAACAUCGUAGUAUAGCCUUUGGUAUGAAAAAACUGCCAUCAUAUACAUCGUAUAUUGUACAAAUAACAAGUCAAAGGAAAGAGACAUACAUUGUAGAAUUGUAGUAAUUGUGGGCUGACUGAUUUACUGAUUAUCAAUAUUUUAUUUUUUACUAAUUUACGGUAAUAAAUACAUUUAAAAAUGG